rnacentral:lncRNA from 1 species
UGGUCUAAUGGUGGAGGUAGCCAUCAUAUGUGAAGUAGCCACAUAUGUCGCUAGAUUUAAAUAAUGCAACGUCGCACCUACGCCCUGGUAAGUGUGAGCUGUGAGAGCAUGAUCGUCCAAACGGUGGUCUAGGGGAGUGUUCGCGGUGGUUUUCUGGAGUGGUUACAUGUCGAAACCAUGGAACCACGAAAGAAACUUAAUUGGGGCGCAUUUAAUUUCUCGGGUAGUUGUGGUGUC